UGCAGCCGAGCAGCAGAAAGAAGGCUUCAUCUGGAUUCCGGUGCCUGUGGAAUGAGGGACAACGAGGGAACGGGGCACAAAUCUGAACUCCCUCUGCACUCUCUUCCUGAAAGGGAAGAGAAGAGCUUCAAAAAGAAUGAGAGUGACAGGGUAUCCAACUGAAAAGCCUGCAAGAAUGAGGUGGCUCCUGAUCCACAGCUGAGUUUGCAAUAAGUCACUAGGGUGUGGAUGCAUUGGGCAGGAGAUGGGGUGCUGUGCACUGAAAGCCUUCCCCUGUCUUUCAGUAUAAUAUCACUUCAAGGUAAUGAAGGUCAGAACGAGCAAACAUUCUGUCUAUGGCCCUUAGUUGGAAGCUUGCUGCGCUUGAACGUCGCAGCAGGAGACUGCCAGGCUGAGAGUCUUCCUCUGUGUUGCUUCCUUUCUGAGGCCUCGCUGCAGCUGGCUCCAGCAUAUGGUCGACCAUGGAGGUAUUUUACGGGGUCCACUGCCUCAAUAACUAUUUAAUGAUUAAUUACUGCUGGCUAAUGUCAGGAUGAGACAUUGAAGGCUGCCGGCAAAAGUCUUAACUAUGGAAAAUGGCAGCAGGUGGACUCCCCCUGCCUUCGAUGAAGAAUAACUUCUCUGCUCAGCAUUGCUGCAAGAGGCAUUUUGAUUUUGCUCACAGAUGGAAAGAUGGGAGGGGAGAAUCUCAAUGUGAUCAAGUUCUCUCUUUCCAAGAGUGGUAAGGCAGAAUCUAGGGCUGCCUUGAAGGAUAUUUGCUACUCUCAAAGUCCCCAAUAGAUGCAGCAGUCUGAUUUUUUUCUCCUCACUCAUCAAUAAUAGGGAAGAAAAGAAAAAGAAAAACAGUGGACCAAGGAAGAUGCAAUUUUGCAGAAAUAUGCAGGUGACA